GAUGACAACUAUUAAAAUUUAAAUAUUAUUACAUCAAAAUUAAAAGAUAUCACAUAAUCCAAAUAAUACAUACAACUUCAACACAAAAUCCAAAGUCACAAAAUAUAAAUAAAUCUCGUUUAAUCACUAAGGCACGUCCUAUGUGUUCUCGUCCUCAUCACAUCAAACUUGUUCACCUGUAUCAUGUGUAAAAUAGUUUUGGGUCAACAUAAAUUGGUGAGUAAAUCUAAUAUUUAAAUAAAACAAUUUUUUUAUUUAUUGUUAAAAGGUUUAACAUGGAAUUCAAUAGUAAAUAAGUGAUCAAACAACACCAAUAAUAAACAAAAAACAAACCAACCAAUGUGAUAAUGUGAUGAUACGAAACAUUGAUAAAUGCGAGACUCAAGCCUACCGACGAGCGAAUCUUAUGUUGUGGACCCAUGGUAAUGGAGAACCGAUCAGCCUAUGAAUCCAUGUGCGUGAAUGAUUAGCGACACAAAACAUUAAACGGUUAGUCAAAGAAGCAUAACUACCACAUAAUUACACACUGAGUUUUUGCAUGUAUUUGAAAAAUGAAAUAACUUGAAAUAAGGGAUACAAUGAGAUAUGUGACACAUGACACACCCCAAAACAUUUAAAUUGUAAAAAGGGGAAUUAGAAAGAUCUACUCACAGGUUGCGUAUUUUGGUUCCUUGCAAUAGCGUACGAAAAAUGAAAAAACUCCAAAUGCUACCCUAAAAAUAUAAAAUACAAAAGUCCUAAAACCACAAAUAACACACAACAAAACUGCAACCUACAAUUUAGGAACUUCUAUGAAACCUAAAAUAUAUUUAUUAAUUUCAUCACGAAUAGUUAUUUAAUUGAACCGAUUAGUUUUAUUCGCAAAGUACGUGCCUUGUUUCACCAUAGUUUCCUAGAUCUUGAAACAUCCGGAUGAGAUCAAUGAUCUUUAUCUCUUGAAAGGUUAGGAGCUUUCUCGUCUAUAUACUUUUACGAAUAAUUAAAUUGAUUCUUUUAUAAAAAUAAUUAUUAAAGAGAUUUGAAAUUUUAUUAUAAAAAUAGAUCCACAACUUAAUAUUUUAUAAAAAAAUUAGAUUAAUAUUUAGAGACUUUUAUUUUCAUGAUUUCUAUAUUUUUUUAUAUACUAUAACAUGAUUAAAUUAUGAAAUAAUUUCAAAGAUGACAAAAUUUUUUUAAAAAUUACAAGAUCUAAUUUAAUAUGAUUAUGAAUAGUAAACAAGUUUCAAUUUCAACAAAACAUUAAUUUAAGAACAAAAGCCCCAAAAUUCUAUAUUUAAGAACACUAAAAUACAAGAAAUUUUAUUCGAAUUUUUUAUACCCUCUAUCAGAUAAAUUAAUAGAGGGGUUUUACAUAUCUUGAGAAACUAAAUCGAAUAGACAUAAAAACUAACUCCUUUGAUGAAGAAUUGAAGAAGAUAUGAGAAGAUGAAGUUCCAAGCCCUAGGUUGUGUUCUUCCUUGAAUUUGCAAUUUAAAGAGAGAGCUGGUAUGAUUUGGAGGUGGGUAUUGUUUGUAAUAGAUGGAGAAAUCUUUCAGGAUGAGUUAGGGGGGUUGAUAAGGUGGACGAAUUUUGGUAAUAAAGUUUAUAAAAUUUUAUAAGUUUUAAUGGGGAUUUCAUUUCUAAAAAAUUAGGGAAUUAUAAAAUGUAUUUGGACAUUAUAAGGUGUGUAUUAGUGUUUAGGCUCAUUUGAAGUAAAUUUAGAUACCAAACAUAGUGUAAAAACAGAUGGAUCUUUUCUUGUAGAACAAGGGUAUCGCGAUACAGAAGAAAUGGAAACUUUCAGGUUCCGUCGUUUAG
rnacentral:lncRNA from 1 species